AAACAUGGCUCUUCCCUGUACACCACACAGACUGUCAUAAGAAAAUAUAACACUUAAUGUCCGUGAGCCGCACGAGCUAAUCCCAUAGGAGAACUGGAUCUCUAGAUUUGGAACUACAGGUUAAGUUCAGUUUGUGUUGAUGCCAGAUUGUCACUUUCAGAGUUUUAAGAGAACAUUUCUGUCACUUCUAAUGGAAUGUGGCACAAAAUUCUGAGGUUGAUUUGAAGUCACACAAGAUUAUGAAAAAACAGUGCCAAAUGAUCCUGCAAUUUGGUAAGGAAGACCAGGAAAGCAGAGCAGGAGAGAACAGCAAACAGGAGAAAAACCUUCAUUUCUCAAUUUUUUUUUUGUAAUUUAGAAUAUUG